UUUCUGUCUGAAAUGUACAAUACAUUUAAGACUAAUUUCAGCCAGCAACUAUUUAUAAAAAUGGCAGGAAAUUUAUCAACUAAGAGUCAAGUCUCUCAGAUCUCUCAUUCUCUAGGAAAUGUAUUUUCCUUCCCAUUCCUUUCCGGCCAUGUUAUUGAUUUCCUUCAAUUCGAUUCUUUAUAUGUAAAAAGCUGGUCGUCCAUUCCUCCCAUUUUCUUUUCCUGUAUUUUAACUGAUUUCUUCUUUUCCUUCAUUUAGUUUGAAGAUCUAGAGUUGGAUUUCUUUUUUUUCCCUCAAAAUAUUCCUUUUUCAUUUGCUAAACCAAUUUCUCAGUCAGUUUUUACUUUAUUUUUACGUAUUUCCUUUCUAAUUGCUAUUUCCAUUUGUUUUUACACUUAUUCCCAGCCCCCCAAGUAUUUGAUCUUUGUUCUCCUUUGGGUUUUACUUCGGAAAAUCUAAAGAUUUGACUUGAAUUUUAGUUCCUUUUUUUAUGAAAAAAAUCUGACAAUAUUAUAUUUUUCCUCAAAUGGAAAAGGAUAAAUCCCCUGGCUUACUGCCACCGUCAGGUCGAUUUCCGGGUUUUUCAUCUCCUGGAAUUGCUCCAAACAAUUUCAAUCCGAAAACCGAAAAGGGUAGUUUCGGUCAAACUUCGGAAAACAAUCAUUUCAGUCAUGAUAUUAGCAAAAUGCCUGAUAAUCCACCAAAGAAAUUAGGCCACCGCCGUGCCCAUUCCGAAAUACUUACUCUUCCUGAUGAUAUUAGCUUCGACAGUGAUACCGGCAUCGUCGGGGCGGCCGACGGGCCUUCGUAUUCGGACGAAGCAGAGGAUGAUUUGUUUUCUAUAUAUCUUGAUAUGGAUAAGUUCAAUUCUUCUUCUGCCACCUCCACGUGUCAGGUUGGCGAGUCGUCCGAAGCGGCUGCUCCGGUGGCUGUCCCAGCGAAGUCGGGAUUGUCGUCUGGGGAAAAUAUUAGUAAUGGUAUUGGGUCUUCAAUGAAGCCUAGAGUAAGGCAUCAACAUAGCCAGUCGAUGGAUGGCUCGACGAGUAUUAAGCCGGAAAUGCUUAUGUCUGGUUCGGAAGAGGUCUCACCUGCUGAUUCUAAGAAAGCUAUGUCCGCUGCUAACCUUGCUGAGCUUGCUCUUAUUGAUCCCAAGCGUGCUAAGAGGAUCUGGGCGAAUAGGCAAUCCGCUGCUAGGUCAAAGGAAAGGAAGAUGAGAUAUAUAGCCGAGCUUGAGCGGAAAGUACAGACACUUCAAACAGAAGCAACAUCACUCUCUGCCCAGCUUACUCUAGUACAGAGAGACACCAAUGGUUUGACUGCUGAAAAUAGUGAGUUGAAACUGCGCUUGCAAGCAAUGGAGCAACAAGUUCACUUGCAAGAUGCAUUAAAUGAUGCAAUGAAAGAGGAAAUCUGGCAUCUGAAGAUGCUGACUGUUCAAUCUAUGCCGAAUGGUGGAGGAAUAAUGAACUUUGCAUCUUUUGGAGCUAGUCAGCACUACUACCCAAAUAACCAUGCCAAGCAUACUCUUCUGGCAGCACAGCAGUUCCAGCAACUUCAGAUUCACUCACAGAAGCAUCAGCAUCAGCAUCAGCAUCAGUUUGCACCACAUCAACUGCAUCAUCAACAGGAGCAAACAGGGGAGAUGAGAGCUAGAGGUUCAAUGCCUUCCCCCAACCAGAAAGAUUCUUCAUUAGAUGUAAACUCAACCGCGUCAAAGGAUUAAGGACUGAGAGGCCUAUAGGACUGCAGAGGUUGAACGGCUGAGCUGUUGAGGCCAUAGAUAGAUAAGGUGUUAUCCUUUGAACUCUGGUGUUUGGUACCAUAAGCUGCCAGUCGUUCAGCCUAUACGUACUAAUUGAGGUAAACCUAAAUGAUACAGGUAAUGUAUUUUUUUUUUUUGGUUUUUACCGACAUGUAUCAUUAUUGAUCGAUAUUAAUUAGUAUUGGUGCAUAUAAAUUUGUUUUCUUAAAGAACUUUCAAAAUAUAUAUUCAUUAAAUUAAGUUAUUGAACUUAAUUAAUUAUAAUUUUCUGUAUUUUCAAUAACUUUGGAUAUUAUUUUGAAAGUAUAUUUUAUUAAAACAUUAGGAAACCUUACAUGUAAUUUCAAAAAGUAGUUGAAAAUUGUGGAUUGUACUCUGCGGGUAAAGAAUUUUUUUAUCAUUCUUGUUCAUUUUGUUGUUUAUGUUCCGAUAUCGUGAAAAUUCGAAUGUAUUUUUUAAAGUACAAUAUAUCUUACCAUUACACUCAAUAUUUGUUGGUGUCAAUAAAGAA